GUGAGGAAUUUUCCGCAAUGGGCGAAAGCCUGACGGAGCAAUGCCGCGUGAAGGAUGAAGGCCUAUGGGUUGUAAACUUCUUUUCUCAGAAAAGAAUUAUGACGGUAUCUGAGGAAUAAGCAUCGGCUAACUCUGUGCCAGCAGCCGCGGUAAGACAGAGGAUGCAAGCGUUAUCCGGAAUGAUUGGGCGUAAAGCGUCUGUAGGUUGUUUAAAAAGUAUUCUGUCAAAGAUUAGGGCUUAACCCUAGAUAGGCAGAAUAAACUUUUAAGCUAGAGUUUGGUAGAGGCAGAGGGAAUUCCCGGAGGAGCGGUGAAAUGCGUAGAUAUCGGGAGGAACACCAAAGGCGAAGGCACUCUGCUGGGCCGAUACUAACACUGAGAGACGAAAGCGAGGGGAGCAAAUGGGAUUAGAUACCCCGGUAGUCC
rnacentral:rRNA from 1 species